CAUGCAAGUCGAGCGGGGGAAGGUAGCUUGCUACUGGACCUAGCGGCGGACGGGUGAGUAAUGCUUAGGAAUCUGCCUAUUAGUGGGGGACAACGUCUCGAAAGGGAUGCUAAUACCGCAUACGUCCUACGGGAGAAAGCAGGGGAUCUUCGGACCUUGCGCUAAUAGAUGAGCCUAAGUCGGAUUAGCUAGUUGGUGGGGUAAAGGCCUACCAAGGCGACGAUCUGUAGCGGGUCUGAGAGGAUGAUCCGCCACACUGGGACUGAGACACGGCCCAGACUCCUACGGGAGGCAGCAGUGGGGAAUAUUGGACAAUGGGGGGAACCCUGAUCCAGCCAUGCCGCGUGUGUGAAGAAGGCCUUAUGGUUGUAAAGCACUUUAAGCGAGGAGGAGGCUACUCUAGUUGAUACCUAGGGAUAGUGGACGUUACUCGCAGAAUAAGCACCGGCUAACUCUGUGCCAGCAGCCGCGGUAAUACAGAGGGUGCGAGCGUUAAUCGGAUUUACUGGGCGUAAAGCGUGCGUAGGCGGCUUAUUAAGUCGGAUGUGAAAUCCCCGAGCUUAACUUGGGAAUUGCAUUCGAUACUGGUGAGCUAGAGUA
rnacentral:rRNA from 1 species